GGUACGCCUCACCGAGCGAGGCAAGGCGCGCCUGCGUCUCAAGACGGGCUCAGCCAAACUAAGGUGUAAGCCUCAUAAAAAAUGUUUGAGGCAUAAACUUUAAGGCAUUUUUCACUAUAAUUGCACUGAGUCAAGCCUCCUAUUGUGCAAUUUAAACAAUAGUUCCAUCUCUUGCUGAGAGUUUUGAGUCACCGGUUGAAAUAUUAGAAUUAGAUGUUUGGGAUUAAAGGGGGCCCAACUUAGUUAUUAGAGAAGCACUUUUAGCUCCAUACGUCGGUUGUUCAAAAACAUGGCACUUAUCAACAAAGGAUUUUGGAUUCCAAAUGGAGUUGCAAUUUUGUUUUGUAAGAUUAAUUGAUAUUCUAUAAUAAUUAACAAACCAAUUUAAUGUCAAGCGUAUCUUUAAUGAAAAUUUUCAAACCUUUAAUAUAACAAGCUACUAGUUAUUGAGUCGACUCAUUCAGAUGUUCUAAGAACUACUCUGAUAAAAUUCUUCAAUGUAGCUGCUAACAAUCAAGUUUCCUUACAAGCACCUUCGAUAUUAUAAGAAAAACAUUUGCUAGUAAUCAAAGGGAAGAAAUGUCCAUUUAUGAGUUGUUUCAUUCUAAUCCAUUUUUUUUAACAUUUUCCUUUCCUUCUUAUUGGUGGGAUUGAAUUAAUUGCAACCAUCAUUAAAUUUGCAAGCGAUAUACUAGACUUCCUUUUAUGUGGGAAUAUUCAUGUACUCGAAAAAUGCCUCAAACAUUUACUCCUAAUCAAUGUAAUCUUCAAUGUGUAGAUCAACAUUAAAAAAGGAUGUCUGAUUUUACCUUGAGCUCAAUAUAGUUUCAUAUACAGCUCACCUUGGCAUAUUGGUUGAGAGCUUAGACAUCCAACUAAGAGGUCUUAGGUUCGAGUCUUUGUGUAUGCAUUGUGUGUGUGAGUUUGUCUUAAAUGGCCUAAAUGUCCCAAAAAAUAUGUAGUUACACUGCUGACGAAAUUGUGGUGACGUGGUUGUUUUAAGAAUAGGAGCUCAACUUCCAAAUCAGAGUCCAAAUAGUUGUUCCAGCAACAAGGAAGAUUUCCUCAUCAGACUUAGAAAACUCGGAGCACGUCAAUUGAUGAUAUCUUUGGGGUUCCCGCAUAACCCAAUUCACCACAACAAGAUCACCCGUCGCUGGUAUGGUUGCCAGGUUCUCUGGUAUAAUUGCCGGUAGGGCAGCGUUGAUGUUCCUGAAGUCGUGAAGCUCUCAUGUAUCUCAACCACAAAAUGUUGGAAAUCUCUAGCGAGAAUCCAAUUUUUGCUCAAAGAUGGCUGGUGAUUCUCACAUUAGCUCCCAGUUGUGAUCUUGGCGUGCCGAACCGUUACCGCCGUCUGUUAUCCAACUCGGAUACCAGCUUGGUGUAAAAACCAGUAAUUCGUGGGAGGAAAAACGAGAAAGAACAACUUUCUUAAAAAGUAAUAUCAAUUAUGUCCUUGCACUCGUUUGAUUGGAAUAAUAUACUACACAAUGCUUCACUUGCAGACAAAGAACUAUUGAACUAAUAACAGAAGUAAAGGAGGUGAUCAGGACUUAAAUAAAAAAAGGUAGAAUAACGAGACGGGAGUGAGGUCGGUGAUUGCCAUCUUACUCCAAUUUUUUUUAUUUGCUAGCUGCAUCAGAAACGGAUCCAUCGCCUUGAAUGGAAGCCUGGGAAGGAAGUGGGAGCAAUUGGCAUUGAUCUUAGGGCCGCGGCUGAGUCAUAGGCGUAGUGUACCAAAUUCCACGCAGUCGAAGGCGCCAAGCUAGACUCUCCUCUUCUUAGCAGGGUCCCGCAUCUCGGCACCUAAGCGGGCCCAUGACCUCUUGUGGACGCCCCGAAAGCGCAUCCGGGUGCCCCGCGGCCGCUGCUAGAUAAUAAAAUUGAAAUUCAAAUAUUAUAAGACUAUAAGAGCAAAACAACAUAAAAUAUAUGAAUUAUAUAAAGAUAUCAUAAAACAUCAAGUUCAACUUCAAAUUUUUUUCUCAAUUUCCUACUCAUCCACAUUUAAUUCCUAAAGAAAACUAAAAUAGUUGGCAACAACUUGGAAAUCAUAUUCAUUGUCAUCACUAAGUGUUAUAACUAAAGGGGUCUUUUUUUGAAUCAUUGUCAUAACAAAUUGGUCACUCCCUUAUCUCAUCUUGUGGAGUCCAAUGUCUCUCAAUCUACUUCUUCUUCAUUUAUUUUAAUCAUCUUCCUAUUUCAUAAAUGUUUGUCAUCAACAUAAAGAUGAGAGUAAUACUCCAAAAUUUUUAGAGGAAGGGGUAGUGGUGAUAUGUGGCAUUCAAGUUAUCCUUGACAACAGCUAUAACGGUGGUGGCUGCGACGAAGGUGCUGGGCUGGAGGUCGACGAAGUCGAGAAGUUGCUACGACUUAAUAGUGCAUGAAGACAUGAUUUGUUAAGGGCUUUAGUUUAGAAUUUAUGUAAGCUUUAAUAAAUAUGUAUAUAUAUAUAUAUAUAUAUAUAUAUAUAUAUAUAUAGGGUGAGGGUACGCCUCAAGAGCGAGGCGAGGCGCACCUGCGCCUCAAGAAGGGCUCAACCAAACUAAGGUAUAAGCCUCAUAAAAAAAGCUUGAGGCAUAAACUUUAAGGCAUUUUUCACUAUAAUUGCAAUGAGUCAAGCCUCCUAUUGUGCAAUUUAAACAAUAGUUCCAUCUCUUGCUGAGAGUUUUGAGUCACCGGCUGAAAUAUUAGAAUUAGUUGUUUGGGAUUAAAGGGGGCCCAACUUAGUUAUUAGAGAAGCACUUUUAGUUCCAUACGUCGGUUGUUCAAAAUCAUGGUACUUAUCAACAAAGUAUUUUGGAUUCCAAAUCGAGUUGCAAUUUUGUUUUGUAAGAUAAAUUGAUAUUCUAUGAUAAUUAACAAACCAAUUUAAUGUCAAGCAUAUCUUUAAUGAAAAUUUUCAAACCUUUAAUAUAACAAGCUACUAGUUAUUGAGUCGACUCAUUCAGAUUGUUCAAAGAACUAUUUUGAUAAAAUUCUUCAAUGUAGCUGCUAACAAUCAAGUUUCCUUAUGAGCACUUUCGAUAUUAUAAGAACAACUUCUGCUAGUAAUUAGAGGGAAGAAAUGUCCAUUUAUGAGUUGUUUCAUUCUAAUCCAUUUUUUUAACAUUUUCCUUUCCUUCUUAUUGGCAGGAUUGGAUUAAUUGCAACCACCAUUAAACUUGUAAGCGAUAUACUAGACUUCCUUUUAUGUGGGAAUAUUCAUGUACUCGAAAAAUGUCUCAAAUAUUUACUCCUAAUCAAUGUAAUCUUCAAUGUGUAGAUCGACAUUAAAAAAGGAUGUGUGAUUUUACCUUGAGCUCAAUAUAGUUUCAUACACAGCUCAUCUUGGCCUGUUGGUUGAGAGCUUAGGCUUCCAACUAAGAGGUAUUGGGUUCGAGUCUUUGUGGAUGCAUUGUGUGUGUGAGUUUGCCUUAAAUGGCCUAAAUGUCCCAAAAAAUAUAUAGUUCCAACGCUGACGAAAUUGUGGUGACGUUUUUGUUUUAAGAAUAGGAGCUCAACAUCUAAAUCAGCGUCCAAAUAAUUGUUCCGGCAACAAGGAAGAUUUCCUCAUCAGACUUAGAAAACUCGGAGCACGUCAGUGCAUGAUAUCUUUGGGGUUCCCGCAGAACCCAAUUCACCACAACAGGAUCACCCGUCGCUGGUAUGGUUGCCAGGUUCUCUGGUGUAAUUGCCGGUAGGGCAGCGUUGAUGUUCCUGAAGUCGUGAAGCUCUCAUGUGUCUCAACCACAAAAUGUUGGAAAUCUCUAGCGAUAAUCCAAUUUUUGCUCAAAGAUGGCCGGUGAUUCUCACAUUAGCUCCUAGUUGUGAUCCUGGCGUGCCGAACCGUUACCGCCAUCCGUCAUCCAACUCGGAUACUAGCUUGAUGUAAAAACCAGUAAUUCAUGGGAGGAAACCGAAGGCGGAAACGAGAAAGAACAACUUUCUUCAGAAGUAAUAUCAAUUAUGUCCUUGCACUCGUUUGAUUGGAAUAAUAUACUACACGUACAAUGCUUCACUUGCAGACAAAGAACUAAAACAAACUAUUGAACUAAUGACAGAAGUAAAGGGGGUGAUCAGGACUUAAAUAAUAAAAGGUAGAAUAACGAGACGGGAGUGAGGUCGGUGAUUGCCGUCUUACUCCAAUUUUUUUAUUUGCUAGCUGCAUCAGAUUCGGAUCCAUCGCCUUGAAUGGAAGCCUGGGAAGGAAGUGGGAGCAGUUGGCA